rnacentral:ribozyme from 1 species
AGAAGCUUUGACUCUGUAAUCGGAUGGGAUCCGAAGCCUCUUGAAGAUUCCAUCCAACUCCAACACGUCCACGUCGUGCAGGGUGGUAACAUGGUGGGCCUACGUCUAACCUUUCCGGUGGACGACGGUUCAUGGCUAAGGAGGAAGGC